ACAGAGGAAUAGCCUUUAGAAAUGAAGAUUAAUGCCUCAUAGUAUUGAGUAUUCGCAUGAAUAUUUAAUUAAAGAUUUAUCGGUAAAAGAUGGCUAUGCGUCCUAUUAGUUAGUUGGUAAGGUAACGGCUUACCAAGACAGCGAUAGGUAGGGGUCCUGAGAGGGAGAUCCCCCACACUGGUACUGAGACACGGACCAGACUCCUACGGGAGGCAGCAGUGAGGAAUAUUGGACAAUGGAGGAGACUCUGAUCCAGCCAUGCCGCGUGUAGGAAGAAUGCCCUAUGGGUUGUAAACUACUUUUAUACAGGAAGAAACACUGGUAUGUAUACCAGCUUGACGGUACUGUACUAAUAUG
rnacentral:rRNA from 1 species